GACGAACUCUGGCGGCGUGCUUAACACAUGCAAGUCGAACGGUAAGGCUCCAGCUUGCUGGGGUACACGAGUGGCGAACGGGUGAGUAACACGUGGGUGACCUGCCCUGCACUUCGGGAUAAGCCUGGGAAACUGGGUCUAAUACCGGAUAGGACCGCACCGUGAGGGUGUGGUGGAAAGUUUUUUCGGUGUGGGAUGGGCCCGCGGCCUAUCAGCUUGUUGGUGGGGUAAUGGCCUACCAAGGCGGCGACGGGUAGCCGGCCUGAGAGGGUGGACGGCCACAUUGGGACUGAGACACGGCCCAGACUCCUACGGGAGGCAGCAGUGGGGAAUAUUGCACAAUGGGCGGAAGCCUGAUGCAGCGACGCCGCGUGGGGGAUGACGGCCUUCGGGUUGUAAACUCCUUUCACCAUCGACGAAGGGUUUCUGACGGUAGAUGGAGAAGAAGCACCGGCUAACUACGUGCCAGCAGCCGCGGUAAUACGUAGGGUGCGAGCGUUGUCCGGAAUUACUGGGCGUAAAGAGCUCGUAGGUGGUUUGUCGCGUCGUCUGUGAAAUUUCGGGGCUUAACUCCGGGCGUGCAGGCGAUACGGGCAUAACUUGAGUACUGUAGGGGAGACUGGAAUUCCUGGUGUAGCGGUGAAAUGCGCAGAUAUCAGGAGGAACACCGGUGGCGAAGGCGGGUCUCUGGGCAGUAACUGACGCUGAGGAGCGAAAGCAUGGGGAGCGAACAGGAUUAGAUACCCUGGUAGUCCAUGCCGUAAACGGUGGGCGCUAGGUGUGGGUUUCCUUCCACGGGAUCCGUGCCGUAGCUAACGCAUUAAGCGCCCCGCCUGGGGAGUACGGCCGCAAGGCUAAAACUCAAAGGAAUUGACGGGGGCCCGCACAAGCGGCGGAGCAUGUGGAUUAAUUCGAUGCAACGCGAAGAACCUUACCUGGGCUUGACAUAUACAGGAUCGCGCCAGAGAUGGUGUUUCCCUUGUGGCUUGUAUACAGGUGGUGCAUGGUUGUCGUCAGCUCGUGUCGUGAGAUGUUGGGUUAAGUCCCGCAACGAGCGCAACCCUUGUCUUAUGUUGCCAGCACGUUGUGGUGGGGACUCGUAAGAAACUGCCGGGGUUAACUCGGAGGAAGGUGGGGAUGACGUCAAAUCAUCAUGCCCCUUAUGUCCAGGGCUUCACACAUGCUACAAUGGUCGGUACAGUGGGUUGCCAGUCCGUGAGGGCGAGCUAAUCCCGCAAAGCCGGUCUCAGUUCGGAUCGGGGUCUGCAACUCGACCCCGUGAAGUCGGAGUCGCUAGUAAUCGCAGAUCAGCAACGCUGCGGUGAAUACGUUCCCGGGCC
rnacentral:rRNA from 1 species